rnacentral:lncRNA from 10 species
GUCGAUAGGUCUGCUAGCAACAGCCGUGCUGCAGCAGAGAGAGAGAGAGAAAUCAAGAAACAAGUCAUAGCAACACCGGGCACCAGGUUCUGCCAGCUCACUUGCUGAGCGUUCAGAGAUCUGUCAGGGCCAGAGGCCUCUGGGUAGCCUAGGCUAGGAGAUGACACGCAAGGUGGCACGGGCGGUUCCCGUGGGGAGGAGGUGGGGUGGUGGUGGGGGGCAGGGGUGGGAGCAAGAGGUUGUGGGGCGACGGUGGAGGGUUUGAUGGGACCAAAUUCUGGAACAUUCGGGACUGCGGCACCUUACGGCGGGACCAAGAUUUGGGUCUGCGCAGGCGGCGAUGGGUGGUCCGACGGGCUUCAGGACUUGAUGGCGUAACCCCCUUCUUCCCCCACUUCACAUGUGAUGGCCUUCCCUGUACUGCUGCAUCAUUAACUAAGUGACUGAGCUGGCCUUCCAUUGGCCAGGGGAGGGCUCUCCCUCCAGACACUUCCUCUGAUUGGUGGGUGGGCCAAUGGCAGGUGAAAA